rnacentral:rRNA from 1 species
AGUGAACGCUGGCGGUAGGCCUAACACAUGCAAGUCGAACGGCAGCACAGUAAGAGCUUGCUCUUACGGGUGGCGAGUGGCGGACGGGUGAGGAAUACAUCGGAAUCUACUUUUUCGUGGGGGAUAACGUAGGGAAACUUACGCUAAUACCGCAUACGACCUACGGGUGAAAGCAGGGGAUCUUCGGACCUUGCGCGAUUGAAUGAGCCGAUGUCGGGUUAGCUAGUUGGCGGGGUAAAGGCCCACCAAGGCGACGAUCCGUAGCUGGUCUGAGAGGAUGAUCAGCCACACUGGAACUGAGACACGGUCCAGACUCCUACGGGAGGCAGCAGUGGGGAAUAUUGGACAACGGGCGCAAGCCUGAUCCAGCCAUACCGCGUGGGUGAAGAAGGCCUUCGGGUUGUAAAGCCCUUUUGUUGGGAAAGAAAAGCAGCAGGUUAAUACCCCGCUGUUCUGACGGUACCCAAAGAAUAAGCACCGGCUAACUUCGUG